GGCCUGGUGGUGCAGCGGUAGCACAUCUCCAUCAUCAACCGUCUGGGAAUGAACUCAGACGAGACGUUGAGACUAGAAAGGACGUAGGUUCAAAUCCUACCCGAGCCA
rnacentral:tRNA from 1 species